rnacentral:tRNA from 1 species
GAUCUCGUCGUGUAACGGUUAUCACUUUGGGCUUUGAAUCCAGCAAUCCGAGUUCAAAUCUCGGCGGGACCU